UUAUACAAGGCCGUACUAUUAGUGGGUCCUGCCUGCAGUAUGCGAAUUAUUUAAUAUCAGGAUAAACUACUUUGUCCUGAAAUCGGGUUUGGCCGCUAAUAUUGGACUUUCUACAUUUCUUUGUGACCUUUUUCUGUAAUUGAGAUGAAUAUGGAAAGAAUCAUAUUAAAUAAUAAACCUUCAUAUUGGGUUGAAGAUAAUAACGUAUCAAGUCAAUACCCUCUUACUAACUAUAAUUCACCUGAAUACAAGGAAAUUUUUGGAGAGGUGAUUAUGGCCACAGGUCUGACGAACUACACUCGUAUUCGUCGAAUUCAAAAUAUUUACGAUUUGGGCCAGUUUCUUAUUAGAGAACAACUCAAAAUUGCUUUGUCUAAUGGCUCCACAACAUUUUACAAAGUAAGACGAUUUAUGAAAAUAAAAAGAAUAUAUCAACCCGUUGCUCUGCAAUUUAAUGCCGAUUAUAGAAGAUGUGGAGUCCCUAACCAGACAUUCAAGAAUAAACUUCAAAAUCUGGCUCCAGAUGAAAUCAUCUUAGUUGUGAAAAUUAUUACAGAUUCACCAACCAAUGAUAACAUUACUCCAGAAAACAGCUCAGAUUAUUUUAUAGAAUAUAUCGUGUACCCUCAUUAAAUCAUCAAUAUAAUGUUCUCUAAUUUCUGUUAGACCUAAUCAAUAUGUAUUUGUUAUUUUAUUUUGCUGUUUAGAAACUACUGUAUCAUUUAUUUACUUACUGUAUCAUUUAUUUUUAAUAAUAACAUUUUUUUAAAGUAUA
rnacentral:misc_RNA from 1 species